rnacentral:misc_RNA from 1 species
GAUGAAGAACGUAGCGAAAUGCGAUAAGUAGUGUGAAUUGCAGAAUUCAGUGAAUCAUCGAAUCUUUGAACGCACAUUGCGCCCCUUGGUAUUCCAUGGGGCAUGCCUGUUCGAGCGUCAUUUGUACCUUCAAGCUUUGCUUGGUGUUGGGUGUUUGUCUCGCCUUUGCGUGUAGACUCGCCUUAAAAUAAUUGGCAGCCGGCGUAUUGAUUUCGGAGCGCAGUACAUCUCGCGCUUUGCACUCAUAACGACAGCGUCCAAAAGUACAUUUUACACUCUUGACCUCGGAUCAGGUAGGGAUACCCGCUGAUCUUAAGCAUAUCAAUAAGCGAGGA